rnacentral:rRNA from 1 species
CAGUCGCCGCGGGAACACGUAGGUGGCAAGCGUUGUCCGGAAUUAUUGGGCGUAAAGGGCUCGCAGGCGGUUUCUUAAGUCUGAUGUGAAAGCCCCCGGCUCAACCGGGGAGGGUCAUUGGAAACUGGGAAACUUGAGCGCAGAAGAGGAGAGUGGAAUUCCACGUGUAGCGGUGAAAUGCGUAGAGAUGUGGAGGAACACCAGUGGCGAAGGCGACUCUCUGGUCUGUAACUGACGCUGAGGAGCGAAAGCGUGGGGAGCGAACAGGAUUAGAGACCCCUGUAGUCCCUGUCUCUUAUAC